rnacentral:rRNA from 1 species
GAGUUUGAUCAUGGCUCAGGACGAACGCUGGCGGCGCGCCUAACACAUGCAAGUCGAACGGGAACUGUCCGGAGCUUGCUUCGGACGGUUUCAGUGGCGGACGGGUGAGUAACGCGUGAGGAACCUGCCUUUCAGAGGGGGAUAACGUCCGGAAACGGACGCUAAUACCGCAUGACAUCCCGGGAUCACAUGGUUCUGGGAUCAAAGGAGCAAUCCGCUGGAAGAUGGACUCGCGUCCGAUUAGCCGGUUGGUGAGGUAACGGCCCACCAAAGCUGCGAUCGGUAGCCGGACUGAGAGGUUGAACGGCCACAUUGGGACUGAGACACGGCCCAGACUCCUACGGGAGGCAGCAGUGGGGGAUCUUGCACAAUGGAGGGAACUCUGAUGCAGCGACGCCGCGUGAGGGAAGACGGUUUUCGGAUUGUAAACCUCUGUCCCCGGUGACGAUAAUGACGGUAGCCGAGGAGGAAGCUCCGGCUAACUACGUGCCAGCAGCCGCGGUAAUACGUAGGGAGCGAGCGUUGUCCGGAUUUACUGGGUGUAAAGGGUGCGUAGGCGGCUGAACAAGUCAGGUGUGAAAACCAUCGGCUCAACUGAUGGAUUGCACUUGAAACUGUGCAGCUUGAGUGAAGC